rnacentral:misc_RNA from 1 species
UCUAGGUCAGGCAAAACAAGUGAACUGUCUACAAAGUUGAAGUCUAUAUCAAAAGGGGUGUCUUUGAAUUUGAACCCGUUAAUAGAGUUUGGAUGCUGAUCUGAAUCAGGGAAAACAAUAUCAUCCUCAAAUUUGAAAUCGGAGAUUCCAGAAAAACGCGAAUCUGUUCCCAUCUAUAAAACUCUAACCUAACCCUAACCCUAACCCUAACCAAUCAAAAUCCAAAAUAUGAACUGAUUGUUCUCCACUAACUCAACUAUGAGCUGUUUAAGUACAGAGAACAAAAGCU